rnacentral:rRNA from 1 species
AUAUCAAUAAGCGGAGGAAAAGAAACCAACAGGGAUUGCCUUAGUAACGGCGAGUGAAGCGGCAACAGCUCAAAUUUGAAAUCUGGCAUAUGCCCGAAUUGUAAUUUGUAGAGGAUGUUUCGAAUGCGGUCCAGUUUAAGUUCCUUGGAACAGGACGUCAUAGAGGGUGAGAAUCCCGUAUGUGACUGGGUGCCAAUUUCAUGUGAAACUCCUUCGACGAGUCGAGUUGUUUGGGAAUGCAGCUCAAAAUGGGUGGUAAAUUUCAUCUAAAGCUAAAUACUGGCCAGAGACCGAUAGCGCACAAGUA